UACGGAGGGAGCUAGCGUUGUUCGGAAUUACUGGGCGUAAAGCGCACGUAGGCGGCUUUGUAAGUUAGAGGUGAAAGCCCGGGGCUCAACUCCGGAAUUGCCUUUAAGACUGCAUCGCUUGAAUCCAGGAGAGGUGAGUGGAAUUCCGGAGUGUAGAGGUGAAAUUCGUAGAUAUUCGGAAGAACACCAGUGGCGAAGGCGGCUCACUGGACUGGUAUUGACGCUGAGGUGCGAAAGCGUGGGGAGCAAACAGG
rnacentral:rRNA from 1 species